UCCUAAUUACUAGACAAAAAGUGAACUCCAAAAUAUAUUAGAUUUAAGAAAAAAAACCCAUUUGAAUCAAUCAAGAAAUGUGCAGAAAAUUAAGAGAGAAAGAGAGGGAAAAGAUCGAAACAAUAAAGUAAAAGAAACUCUCUUUGUGGUUUGAAGCAGAUGAUAGAAAUGGAAAAAAAAAAGUGAGAGAACUCAAAACUUAAAAAAACCCAAACUUUCAACCAAGAAAUGGAACAUGCAAAAAUAGCUCUUGAAUCGACGGUCCCAACUGUGAAGAACCGUGUCUAGCCACGAGGAAGCUACGGCCGAAGUGGUGCGACCAUCAUAUGGCAAUCGAUGGAUUGAGGUAGUUUU
rnacentral:lncRNA from 1 species